rnacentral:lncRNA from 1 species
AUGCGUUCACACACACACACACACCCCCAGGUGACUCUAGAACGCUCCGGAAGUGUGUGGAUUCUGAGCCUGAGACCUCUAUCACCUCGUCUCUCGGUGCCCUCUGGCAGGACCUUCUGCGCGUGCCCUCCGAUGGUCACUGUACACCACACCUGCUCUGUCACGCCCACACGCACACACAUGCACCUGCUCCGUCACACCCACCCGCACACACACUGCACACGCACACCUGCUGUCACACCCACCCGCACACACUGCACACACACACCUGCUCCGUCACGCCCACCCGCACACACACUGCACAUGCACACCUGCUCCGUCACGCCCACACGCACACACACUGCACACACACACCUGAUCCGUCACGCCCACCCGCGCACACACUGCACAGACACACCUGCUCUGUCACGCCCACCCGCACACACACUGCACACGCACACCUGCUGUCACACCCACCCACACACACACUGCACAGACACACCUGCUCUGUCACGCCCACCCGCACGCACACUGCACACGCACACCUGCUGUCACCCACCUGCACACACGCACACACACACUGCACACGCACACCUGCUCCGUCACACCCACCCGCACACACACACGCACACUGCACACGCACACCUGCUCCGUCACGCCCACCCGCACUCACACCCCCGGACACCCGCAGCCACGCGCCACGCUCACCCUCACACCCGGGCGGUGCCAGGGAGGCCCCGCGGGCGCCGGAACCACAACCACAGCCUGGCCGCGCCCCUCGAGGCCGGAGGCCGGUGCCGGCCACAGCCAGCCGGUGAGUCACCGCCCCUCCGUCGCGCCAGGGCGGGUCGGGGCGCGGCCGGGGCAGGGGUCCCGCGCCUGGGCCCCGGCCCGGCGGUCGCGCAAGGCCGAGGGUCAGGGCCGCGCAGCCCCCCGCGCCGCCCCGCACGCCCGGCCCUGCGCCGGAGGCCCCGGCCCGCCUACCGUGCUGAGCUGGGCCCCCAUGGUGCCGACGCGUUCGCUCCUCCGCCGCCUCCGCCGCCACUGCCGGCCGCCGCCCCGGGCCACGCCCCACGCCGCGUCACCUCGGAGGAGGGGCGGGGCCGGGCCGGGGCCGGGCCGGGGCCGGGCCGGGGCCGGGGCGGGGCCGGGGCGGGGCCGGGGCGGGGCGGAGCGACGGGCGCGACCUCCGGCGCACGUGGCGGCGCGCGCGGCGGCGGGGCUGCUUUGCGGCCGCGGCGUGUCCUGGGGCCGCGCGCGGGGCGGAAGCAAGAUGGCGCUCUCGCGGCGGUCCCCGGAGCCAGACCCCGAGGUCCCGGCCUCGGAGCGCGGCGGGCCCCAGCUCGCAGCCCCGAGCGCGGUGCCGGCCUCCCGGGCCUCCCGGGCCUGCCUGUGCCCCGCGUGCAGGGCUCCGAACGCGUGGCCCCUGCCGCCUCGGGGCCCGCUCUGGCUCACCGUAGGGGUGCCAGGUCAAGGGGCCCCUCCACUCGGGCCGCCCAUUGCCUCGUAGGUGGAGUGGCCCCUGCGUUCCCUACUGGGCUCCCUGAGGGCACCCCGCAGACUGGCGGGACCUCUCCCGCGUGCCUGGACCCGAGCACCGAGGACGCAAGCGCUGAGACGUGGACACCCGCUCUGCCCUCCUGGAAGGUCCGGGCUGCCGCCGUGGGGCUGCGGGUGCUCCGAGCGCGGGCCAGAGGAGACACGGCCCUCCCACAGGAAUCCACAGCUGCAGACGGUUCCAGGGACCUCAGCUGGACAUAA